rnacentral:rRNA from 1 species
UACGUAGGCAGCGAGCGUUGUUCGGAGUUACUGGGCGUAAAGCGUGCGUAGGCGGUUGUCUAAGUCUGGUGUGAAAUCUCCCGGCUCAACUGGGAGGGUGCGCCGGAAACUGGAUGACUGGAGUGCCGGAGAGGUAAGCGGAAUUCCUGGUGUAGCAGUGAAAUGCGUAGAGAUGUGGAGGAACACCGAUGGCGAAGGCAGCCCCCUGGGUCAAGACUGACGCUCAUGCACGAAAGCGUGGGGAGCAAACAGG